GACGAACGCUGGCGGCGUGCUUAACACAUGCAAGUCGAACGGAAAGGCCCUGCUUUUGUGGGGUGCUCGAGUGGCGAACGGGUGAGUAACACGUGAGUAACCUGCCCUUGACUUUGGGAUAACUUCAGGAAACUGGGGCUAAUACCGGAUAGGAUCUCCUGCUGCAUGGUGGGGGUUGGAAAGUUUCGGCGGUUGGGGAUGGACUCGCGGCUUAUCAGCUUGUUGGUGGGGUAGUGGCUUACCAAGGCUUUGACGGGUAGCCGGCCUGAGAGGGUGACCGGCCACAUUGGGACUGAGAUACGGACCAGACUCCUACGGGAGGCAGCAGUGGGGAAUAUUGCGCAAUGGGCGGAAGCCUGAUGCAGCAACGCCGCGUGCGGGAUGACGGCCUUCGGGUUGUAAACCGCUUUCGCCUGUGACGAAGCGUGAGUGACGGUAAUGGGUAAAGAAGCACCGGCUAACUACGUG
rnacentral:rRNA from 1 species